CGCGUAGGCGGCCGAUCAAGUCGGAGGUGAAAUCCCUCGGCUCAACUGAGGAAUUGCCUCCGAUACUGUUCGGCUUGAGUCCUGGAGAGGGUAGUGGAAUUCCCGGUGUAGCGGUGAAAUGCGUAGAGACUGGGAAGAACACCAGUGGCGAAGGCGGCUACCUGGACAGGUACUGACGCUGAAGCGCGAAAGCUAGGGGAGCAAACAGGAUUAGAUACCCUGGUAGUCCUAGCUGUAAACGAUGGGCACUUGGUGUUGCGGGUAUCGACCCCUGCAGUGCCGAAGCUAACGCAUUAAGUGCCCCGCCUGGGGAGUACGGUCGCAAGGCUGAA
rnacentral:rRNA from 1 species